rnacentral:rRNA from 1 species
AGAUUGAACGCUGGCGGCAUGCCUUACACAUGCAAGUCGAACGGCAGCACGGGGGCAACCCUGGUGGCGAGUGGCGAACGGGUGAGUAAUGCAUCGGAACGUGCCCAGUAGUGGGGGAUAACUAGUCGAAAGAUUAGCUAAUACCGCAUACGACCUAUGGGUGAAAGCGGGGGAUUCGCAAGAACCUCGCGCUAUCGGAGCGGCCGAUGUCUGAUUAGCUAGUUGGCGGGGUAAAAGCCCACCAAGGCUUCGAUCAGUAGCUGGUCUGAGAGGACGACCAGCCACACUGGGACUGAGACACGGCCCAGACUCCUACGGGAGGCAGCAGUGGGAAUUUUGGACAAUGGGCGCAAGCCUGAUCCAGCCAUGCCGCGUGCGGGAAGAAGGCCUUGGUUGUAAACCGCUUUUGGCAGGAACGAAACGGCGCGAGCGAAUAUCGUCGCGUUAAUGACGGUACCUGCAGAAUAAGCACCGGCUAACUACGUGCCAGCAGCCG